rnacentral:rRNA from 1 species
UACGAAGGGGGCUAGCGUUGUUCGGAAUCACUGGGCGUAAAGCGCACGCAGGCGGAUUGAUAAGUCAGGGGUGAAAUCCCGGAGCUCAACUUCGGAAUUGCCUUUGGAUACUGUCUAUCUUCGAGUUCGGGAGAGGUUGGCGGAAUUCCUAGUGUAGAGGUGAAAUUCGUAGAUAUUAGGAAGAACACCAGUGGCGAAGGCGGCCAACUGGCCCGAUACUGACGCUCAUGUGCGAAAGGCGUG